rnacentral:rRNA from 1 species
GACGAACGCUGGCGGCGUGCUUAACACAUGCAAGUCGUACGGUAAGGCCCUUUCGGGGGUACACGAGUGGCGAACGGGUGAGUAACACGUGAGUAACCUGCCCACAACUUUGGGAUAACGCUAGGAAACUGGUGCUAAUACUGGAUAUGUGCUCCUGCUGCAUGGUGGGGGUUGGAAAGCUCCGGCGGUUGUGGAUGGACUCGCGGCCUAUCAGCUUGUUGGUGGGGUAGUGGCCUACCAAGGCGGCGACGGGUAGCCGGCCUGAGAGGGUGACCGGCCACAUUGGGACUGGGAUACGGCCCAGACUCCUACGGGAGGCAGCAGGGGGGAAUAUUGCACAAUGGGCGCAAGCCUGAUGCAGCAACGCCGCGUGCGGGAUGACGGCCUUCGGGUUGUAAACCGCUUUCAGCAGGGACGAAGCUUUUUGUGACGGUACCUGCAGAAGAAGCACCGGCUAACUACGUG